ensembl:lncRNA
GGAGGUGUGUCCUCUCUGCUUGUCACUCACAGUGAAGGAGGUGUGUCCUCUCUGCUUGUCACUCACAGUGAAGGAGGUGUGUCCUCUCUGCUUGUCACUUACAGUGAAGGAGGUGUGGCCUCUCUGCUUGUCACUUACAGUGAAGGAGGUGUGGCCUCUCUGCUUGUCACUUACAGUGAAGGAGGUGUGUCCUCUGCUUGUCACUCACAGUGAAGGAGGUGUGUCCUCUCAGCUUGUCACUCACAGUGAAGGAGGUGUGGCCUAGAUAAAUAUUACAUUGCAAGUUUUUUGUAAUACAGGUUCUCAGAAUUAAGCAUGAGCUGUUAUUCUCUCUCUCUCUCUCUCUCUCUCUCUC